rnacentral:rRNA from 1 species
UACGUAGGGGGCAAGCGUUGUCCGGAAUCAUUGGGCGUAAAGCGCGUGUAGGCGGCUAGGUAAGUCUGCUCUGAAAGCCCGGGGCUCAACCCCGGGAGGCGGGUGGAUACUGUCUAGCUCGAGUCCGGAAGAGGAGUGUGGAAUUCCUGGUGUAGCGGUGGAAUGCGCAGAGAUCAGGAGGAACACCGAUGGCGAAGGCAGCUCGCUGGGACGGUACUGACGCUGAGGCGCGAAAGCGUGGGGAGCGAACAGG